AUCUCUAUUUUAUUGAAACGUCUCAAUGAAUCUAGUGUUACGCCAAAGGGAAUUCAGAAUAUUAAACAGAUUUUUGGGACCGGGAGGGUGCCCGGAGCUUGCUCCGCCCCCUCCGCGGGUCGACUGCGCAUUGCAGUGUCGUGAAGUCUGGCCCAGCAAGC